rnacentral:rRNA from 1 species
AUUGAACGCUGGCGGCAGGCCUAACACAUGCAAGUCGAGCGAGCGGCGGACGGGUGAGUAAUGUCUGGGAAACUGCCUGAUAGAGGGGGAUAACUACUGGAAACGGUCGCUAAUACCGCAUAACAUCAGAUGAGCCCAUAGGGGAUUAGCUAGUAGGUGGGGUAAUGGCUCACCUAGGCGACGAUCCCUAGCUGGUCUGAGAGGAUUACCAGCCACACUGGAACUGAGACACGGUCCAGACUCCUACGGGAGGCAGCAGUGGGGAAUAUUGCACAAUGGGCGCAAGCCUGAUGCAGCCAUGCCGCGUGUGUGAAGAAGGCCUUCGGGUUGUAAAGCACUUUCAGCGGGGAGGCGUUACCCGCAGAAGAAGCACCGGCUAACUCCGUGCCAGCAGCCGCGGUAAUAC